rnacentral:rRNA from 1 species
AGAGGUGGCAAGCGUUGUUCGGAAUUACUGGGCGUAAAGGGCGCGCAGGCGGUUUGCCAAGCUCGUGUGAGAUCCCCCGGCUCAACUGGGGAACUGCGCGGGAUACUAGUGGACUUGAGUUCGGGAGAGGAAAGCGGAAUUCCGGGUGUAGCGGUGAAAUGCGCAGAUAUCCGGAGGAACACCAGUGCGAAGGCGGCUUUCUGGACCGACACUGACGCUGAGGCGCGAAAGCUAGGGGAGCGAACGGGGGAUUAGAUACCCCGGUAGUCCUAGCCCUAAACGAUGAGCACUGGGUGUAGGGGGUAUGAACCCCCCCCCGUGUGCCGAAGCUAACGCAUUAAGUGCUCCGCCUGGGGGAGUACGGUCGCAAGGCUG